rnacentral:rRNA from 1 species
UACGGAGGUCCCGAGCGUUGUUCGGAUUCACUGGGCGUAAAGCGCGCGCAGGUGGUUCACUAAGCCCGGCGUGAAAUCCCCGGGCUCAACCUGGGAAUUGCGAUGGAGACUGCAAGGCUGGAGUCUGGCAGAGGGGGGUGGAAUUCCACGUGUAGCAGUGAAAUGCGUAGAGAUGUGGAGGAACACCGAUGGCGAAGGCAGCCCCCUGGGCCAACACUGACGCUCAGGCACGAAAGCGUGGGGAGCAAACAGG